AUUUCCUUUUUAACCAUGCAGGUUGUGGUGGAACUGGAAAUACUAUGUGUUCUGAAUGUGGAGGUCGUGGUCACAUUGGAGUAGCCUGACAUACAAGUUCCAGCAUCAUGUUAGAUGGGCGACCAGCAUCCGGAUGCUGGUUCUGGUGUUCUGAGUAAGCGACAUAAUAUGCUGAAACACUAGCUUGUACCCAUGCCAUGGCCACCCUACUCUGCAAUUCACACAAUUUUUAAAUCGGUUUCAGUUUUGGAGAAAAGAAAAACCCUGAGAUUGAAAGAUCCCCAUAAGAGUUGGAUACUUACCACAAGAUAUCCGGUUAAGAACGUAUACAUUGUCACUCCAGUUGCAUAGCUCCUAUGGAUCACAAAUGCCCAUAUGCCUCCUAUUAGUGCACAUACAGAUCCUGUUGCUACACCGGUUAGAAAGCAGAA